rnacentral:rRNA from 1 species
UGAGUACGAGAUGCUACGGCAUUGAAGCAGUCUAUGUCAUACUUCCAAGAAAAGCUUGCACAGUCAUAAACAAAGAAUGCCUGUACCAUAACCGACACAGGUGGGUAGGUAGAGUAUACUAAGGGGCGCGAGAUAACUCUCUCUAAGGAACUCGGCAAAAUGACUCCGUAACUUCGGGAGAAGGAGUGCCUUAUUUUUAAGGUUGCAAUAACAAGAUCCAAGCAACUGUUUAUCAAAAACACAGGUCUCCGCUAAGUCGUAAGACGAUGUAUGGGGGCUGACGCCUGCCCAGUGCCAGAAGGUUAAAGAAGUUGGUUAGCAUUCGCGAAGCUGAUAACUGAAGCCCUGGUGAACGGCGGCCGUAACAAUAACGGUCCUAAGGUAGCGAAAUUCCUUGUCGGGUAAGUUCCGACCCGCACGAAAGGCGUAAUGAUUUGGAUACUGUCUCGGAGAGGGACUCGGUGAAAUAGACUUGUCUGUGAAGAUGCGGACUACCUGCACCUGGACAGAAAGACCCUAUGAAGCUUUACUGUAACUUGAAAUUGAAAUUGGACUUUAGUUGCGCAGGAUAGGUGGGAGGCGUUGAGAACAUUCUUGCGGGAGUAUUGGAGCCAUCAGUGAGGUACCACUCUUCUAAUGUUAGAUUUCUAACUUUGUAUCAUUAUCUGGUCAAAGAACAGUUUCAGGCGGGCAGUUUGACUGGGGCGGUCGCCUCCUAAAGGGUAACGGAGGCGCACAAAGGUUUCCUCUGAACGGGUAGAAAUCGUAUCUAGAGUGUAAAGGCAUAAGGAAGCUUGACUGUGAGACCUACAAGUCGAGCAGGGACGAAAGUCGGUCUUAGUGAUCUGACGGUGCUGAGUGGAAAGGCCGUCACUCAACGGAUAAAGGUUACUCUAGGAUAACAGGCUGAUCUCCCCCAAGAGUUCACAUCGACGGGGAGGUUUGGCACCUCGAUGUCGGCUCAUCGCAUCCUGGGGCGGUAGUACGUCCCAAGGGUUGGGCUGUUCGCCCAUGAAAGCGGUACGCGAGCUGGGUUCAGAACGUCGUGAGACAGUUCGGUCCAUAUCCGGUGUAGGCGUUAAAUAUUGAGAGGAGCCUUCUCUAGUACGAGAGGACCGAGAAGGACAUACCUCUAGUGUACCAGUUAUCGUGCCAACGGUAAACGCUGGGUAGCUAUGUAUGGAGUGGAUAACCGCUGAAAGCAUCUAAGUGGGAAGCCCACCUCAAGAUAAGUAUUCUC